rnacentral:rRNA from 1 species
AACGAACGCUGGCGGCAGGCUUAACACAUGCCAGUCGAACGCCCCGCAAGGGGCGUGGCCGACGGGUGAGUACCGCGUGGGGACAUACCCUUUCCUGCGGAAUAGCUCCGGGAAACUGGAAUUAAUACCGCAUACGCCCUACGGGGGAAAGAUUUAUCGGGGAAGGAUUGGCCCGCGUUGGAUUAGCUAGUUGGUGGGGUAAAGGCCUACCAAGGCGACGAUCCAUAGCUGGUCUGAGAGGAUGAUCAGCCACAUUGGGACUGAGACACGGCCCAAACUCCUACGGGAGGCGGCAGUGGGGAAUAUUGGACAAGGGGCGCAAGCCUGAUCCAGCCAUGCCGCGUGAGUGAUGAAGGCCUUAGGGUUGUAAAGCUCUUUCACCGAUGAAGAUAAUGACGGUAGUCGGAGAAGAAGCCCCGGCUAACUUCGUG